rnacentral:rRNA from 1 species
AUUGAACGCUGGCGGCAGGCUUAACACAUGCAAGUCGAGCGGGGUGAUGGUGCUUGCACUAUCACUUAGCGGCGGACGGGUGGGUAAUGCUUAAGAAUCUGCCUAUUAGUGGGGGACAACAUCUCGAAAGGGAUGCUAAUACCGCAUACGUCCUACGGGAGAAAGCAGGGGACCACUUGUGACCUUGCGCUAAUAGAUGAGCCUAAGUCGGAUUAGCUAGUUGGUGGGGUAAAGGCCUACCAAGGCGACGAUCUGUAGCGGGUCUGAGAGGAUGAUCCGCCACACUGGGACUGAGACACGGCCCAGACUCCUACGGGAGGCAGCAGUGGGGAAUAUUGGACAAUGGGGGGAACCCUGAUCCAGCCAUGCCGCGUGUGUGAAGAAGGCCUUAUGGUUGUAAAGCACUUUAAGCGAGGAGGAGGCUCUUUUGGUUAAUACCCAAGAUGAGUGGACGUUACUCGCAGAAUAAGCACCGGCUAACUCUGUGCCAGCCGCCGCAGUAA